rnacentral:rRNA from 1 species
UACGUAGGAGGCGAGCGUUGUCCGGAAUUACUGGGCGUAAAGCGCGCGUAGGCGGUCUUUCGCGUAGGCGGUGAAAGCCCCCGGCUCACCCGGGGGAGGUCCGUCUAAACGGGGAGACUUGAGGGCGGUAGGGGCCGGUGGAACGCCCGGAGUAGCGGUGAAAUGCGUUGAGAUCGGGCAGAACACCAGUGGCGAAGGCGGCCGGCUGGGCCGUUCCUGACGCUGAGGCGCGAAAGCCAGGGAGCAAACGGG